GAAAGGCUCAUUAAAUCAGUUAUGGUUCCUUAGAUCGUACCCACAAUUACUUGGAUAACUGUGGUAAUUCUAGAGCUAAUACAUGCAAACAGAGCUCCGACCGGAGACGGAAGGAGUGCUUUUAUUAGAUCAAAACCAAUCGGUGGCGGGCUCGUCAUCGUACAACUUGGUGACUCUGAAUAACUUUACGCUGAUCGCACGGUCAUCGCACCGGCGACGCAUCUUUCAAAUGUCUGCCUUAUCAACUGUCGAUGGUAGGUUCUGCGCCUACCAUGGUCGUAACGGGUAACGGGGAAUCAGGGUUCGAUUCCGGAGAGGGAGCCUGAGAAACGGCUACCACAUCCAAGGAAGGCAGCAGGCGCGCAAAUUACCCACUCCCGGCACGGGGAGGUAGUGACGAAAAAUAACGAUACGGGACUCAUCCGAGGCCCCGUAAUCGGAAUGAGUACACUCUAAACCCUUUAACGAGGAUCAAUUGGAGGGCAAGUCUGGUGCCAGCAGCCGCGGUA
rnacentral:rRNA from 1 species